UAGGGAAUCUUCCGCAAUGGACGCAAGUCUGACGGAGCAACGCCGCGUGAGUGAAGAAGGAUUUCGGUUCGUAAAACUCUGUUGUUAGAGAAGAACAGCGCAUAGAGUAACUGUUAUGCGCGUGACGUUAUCUAACCAGAACGCCACGGCUAACUACGUGCCAGCAGCCGCGGUAAUACGUAGGUGGCAAGCGUUGUCCGGAUUUGUUGGGCGUAAAGCGAGCGCAGGCGGUCAAUUAAGUCUGAUGUGAAAGCCCCCGGCUCAACCGGGGAGGGUCAUGGGAAACUGGUUGACUUGAGGGCAGAAGGGGAGAGUGGAAUUCCAUGUGGAGCGGUGAAAUGCGUAGAUUUAUGGGGGAACACCAGUGGCGAAGGGGACUCUCUGGUGUGUAACUGACGCUGAGGCUCGAAAGCGUGGGUAGCAAACAGG
rnacentral:rRNA from 1 species